CAGGGAAUCUUGCGCAAUGGGCGAAAGCCUGACGCAGCAACGCCGCGUGGGGGAUGAAGGCCUUCGGGUUGUAAACCCCUUUCAGGAGGGAAGAAAUUGACGGUACCUCCAAAAGAAGCCCCGGCCAACUACGUGCCAGCAGCCGCGGUAAUACGUAGGGGGCGAGCGUUGUCCGGAAUCAUUGGGCGUAAAGAGCUCGUAGGCGGUUCAGCAAGUCGGCUGUGAAAUUCCGAGGCUCAACCUCGGAACUGCAGUCGAUACUGCUGUGACUCGAGUCCGGUAGAGGAGAAUGGGAUUCCCGGUGUAGCGGAGAAAUGCGCAGAUAUCGGGAGGAACACCAGUAGCGAAGGCGGUUCUCUGGGCCGGUACUGACGCUGAGGAGCGAAAGCGUGGGGAGCAAACAGGAUUAGAUACCCUGGUAGUCCACGCUGUAAACGUUGGACACUAGGUGUGGCGGUCUGAUCAACGACUGCCGUGCCGAAGCUAACGCAUUAAGUGUCCCG
rnacentral:rRNA from 1 species